rnacentral:lncRNA from 1 species
UCUAAUAGGCACGUGGCACACAGCCGUCGAGCUGUUACACGACUAGUUUGGCUAUAAGGGUCAACCUUUGGUCAACGUGACUAUUCGCCUUUAGAAACUUAUGUCUUCCGAAGAAAUUGGAUAUCGUUCCAGUGAUAAUUGAUGGCUUAAAAAGUAGAAUAUUCCCCUUAAUUCUCACCGCUCUAUUAACUGUGCUGCGGUUAUAAAUAUCGGAGGGACUUAUCCC